CUCUUAUCCUGAGUUGGCGGAGGGACAGGCCCGAUGAAACCCGGCAACCUUCUCAACGACAAGCGAUGAUUUUGAAGCCGUCAGGUAAAAGGACAUGCUUCUUAUGUCGUACCGGCGACGCGAGGGGCUUGUGAGAAAGGUGCUAACCUGAUGCAAGGUGUAAAUACCUUGAACGAUAAGAG
rfam:Bacillus smithii strain DSM 4216, complete genome.